UGAUCAUGGUUUAAGAGGAAGCUAAUUUAACCCGCCUGAAGAUCGUUUCUAGAUUGAAACAAUACUUCAAACCAGCCAUAUAUUAAAUUUGUUUGUAUUACAGGAUCGGGGUCUUGACUAGGGUACAGUGAUAAUGACAUACCGCGUUCUGUGAGAGUAUGUAGGUCUCCAUUUCAAUUCCUGUCUGAGAACUUAAAUAAUAGAAAAUAAAAGUCAAUAAAUAAAUAUAUAUAUUAGUACGUAGCUUGGCAUAUCGAAUGGUGGAAAAUAGCCCUCUGAAAAAUUGUAAAUGAAAGACUGAAUUGAUGCAGUGGGACAGUGGAUUAUGAGGUGGAACUUUUUUUUCUCGGUGGGUUUCUUCUUAUGUUGAAACAAAUUCACUCAGAGAUGAUUAAGAACCAGCACAUUUGAUUCAUCCCCUGAAGACAAUGUGUGCUGUACUUCUGAGGGUUCUUUUUUGAAAGCAAGAAUUCCUCAGUUUGAACACAUUCAUUAUGAAUAAACUGCCAACGGUUUUGCAGACAUGGAGAGAGAGCUGACUCAGAGACUGAAAAUGAGUUCAAUGUUAUAUAUUGACUAGUCCUUUAUUGUGGCUACUCCAUCAAUCACAUAUCCUUUUUUAAUGUUGUCAAGAAAUUUAAAAAAAAAAAAAAAUUGAAAUUAUAAUAGAUACAUGUGGAACAAGUUUAUGACAGUAACUUUGGGAAAGUUCUGAACUCCUUCUCCUGGGGUCGAAAUUGUUUUCUGCAACAAGAUAUUUGAUUUGUUAAAAAAACAGAUUUUUUUUUUUUUUAUAGGUGUGACCGUAAAUGGCAUGCAUUAAAUCUGUAGUAGAAGCUGAUAGGAGGGGUUGUGUUGUUUAGCGAGAGGGAGCACAUGAUGUUGGGCCAAGAAGGCUCACUCAAACACUCUCUCUCUCUCUCUCUCUCUCUCACACACGCACAAACAGUCAUGGGUGGAUGAGUGAUGAGAGACAGCAAAGAAGAAGCUAGUUGGUGACACCUCAAGGCACUCAUAUGCAUCGCAGCCCACCAACCAUUCGCGUCCGCAAUGAUUUGAUUGGACACACUUAGCUCCCUCUGCACGUGCACCAGUCAGGUUUUCUUAGCUGUCAAACCCUGCUCGACCUUUUAACUUUUCCAAUUCACCCAAAAAAACCCACCUCCCCAUCACUUCCUAUUAAUUCCUCCCCAUGCCUCCCGAGAGGUAGCACUGGUCUGCUCUUUCUUUCUUUUGUUUUCUUUGUUGUUUUUCUCUUUAUUUGUUAAUCGUAGUUUUUCAUUCGUUUGGGUAGUAGUUAGUAUUUUGUAAUUCUUUCUUAAUUGCUUCAUUCAAUCUGGUUCUUGAUCAAUCCCCUAUUGGGCUUUGGCCUUUUUGAGUUUCUUAAAAUGGUUUCCAAGUUGUACUCCAUAAACCCCAUAUGUUACUGUCAAAAUAUCAUCGGGAUAGACUGGAUUUCUGAAGAAAUUCUGCACCAGCUUCACUGUUGCAGGCCUUUGUCAGCCUUGGAAUUGUUAUGACCAACCAUGAUCUUAGUUGGGAUGCUGGUGGUGGGUACUUGCUUUGCAGAGCACAGGAGGGGAGUGCUGGGAGGAGUAUAUGGACAAGAGCAAAGACAGCGUGCUAGGAAGGGAAAAAACAUUGAAGGCUAUUAUAAGGAAAUAAACAGUUUCAAGUUCCCAGAAAGAAGUGUGGACAACCACCAUAGCAUUCCUAGACAGUAUUACAACAAUGAUCCUGAUAACGGUGAUAAUGGAGCUGCAGCCGGAACGCCGUAAUUGGCCCUGCACCUCCACAGCAACGUCUAUGAUCUAUUUAUGUUAUCUACUCUGCUAAUAUUUCCUCUUGUUCUAUAACUAAGGUCCUGUAUGCAAAUAGUUUAUAUUUGGUUUCAAUUGUGUUCAUAAAUGACAGUAAGUGCCAAGCUGUUUGAACUCUAGGCCAAAAGGAACCUGGCCAUACUUUGUGGAGAAGAGAAGUUCUCACGUUAGGAAUGAUUUGGGUAAAGGUAUGAGAAAGGGUCAGAUCAUUUUCCUAUGUUUAUUUGUAAUAAGAUGAAGAUGUUAAGAAGGUGUGCAAAUCAGGAAGUGUUGUCUUGGCAAAAUACUAAAUCAUUAGAAUUACCUUAAUAUAUACAAACCCAUGUUGUGUGUAUCAAUAUUUCUGCAUAAGUCACAUAUCUCGCCUAUUACUGAUUUUAAGUUUUUCUGAUAUUAAAGAUGAGAAAUUUUACGCUUAUGCAUUAGUACUAGUCGAAUACAAAACCACAAGCACUCGAAUUACCUCUUUCAUGAAACAACACCCCCCCC